rnacentral:rRNA from 1 species
UACAGAGGCCUCGAGCGUUAGGCGGAAUCACUGGGCUUAAAGCGUGUGUAGGCGGACUUCUAAGUACCUUGUGAAAUCCCACGGCUCAACCGUGGAACUGCCGGGCAUACUGGCGAUCUUGAGGCAUUCAGGGGCGAGCGGAACAAAUGGUGGAGCGGUGAAAUGCGUAGAUAUCAUUUGGAACGCCAAUGGUGAAAACAGCUCGCUGGGAAUGAUCUGACACUGAGACGCGAAAGCCAGGGGAGCGAACGGG